CAAAAUUUGUGUUGCUGCAUGUAUACUUACUAAUAGCUUAUCUUUAAUUAUUGAAUUAUUUAGUUUGAUUUUAUUUUUACAGGUUAUUUUUAUUGCUUAUUGACGUUUACUAUCUGUACAUAACUUUAAAAAUCUCUUUACUAAUUUUCCGAACCUACUGUGCCGUUCUAAUGGGAUACCAUUGCUGAAAACUUGGCGUGACCGUUCAUCACACCCAACCAUAAUAACGCGAAGCGUCGAGAAACCUCCCAACCAUAUCUUAAACAAACCAAAAUCAUUAUUGGACUAUCCGGAAACAUCCGAACCAAACUCCAAAUCUAAAUAAAUUGUUGCUGGAACUAUCGCAGUUCCAAAUGACAUCAACCUACGGUAUCCCCAUUCCAACAGCCUCUACUGUAUUCCGAUUAAUCGACCCGUCGAAAUAAUCGACGAAACUUUUGACAUUUCUUACUGUCAGCUAACUGUGUGGUGAAAAUGAAAAUGAAAACAAAACCAAAGUGAAAAGAAAACUGAAAAAUGUUUAAUUAUUGUGAGUGGCAAAGAAACAACUUAAAAAAAAAACAACUAUUGCAGCGAGAAACUUGGAAAAACUCAACAACUAUUGCAGGAAUCAUGGAUGGGCAACUGUGUCAGCUACGUCUGUUGUUUGUGGUGCAAAAUCUAUUGAAAAAGUUGCAAGCAGUCCUAGAGGGGAUCCAUCGAGCCGCGAAGAGGAGAUCGCUUGUAAGGACAACGUUAUUGAAGCCAAUCCCUCUCGCCGAACUCGGAGUUGCCAAACC